UGCAAGUCAUUUGUUACAUUUGUUUCUCCCCAUGUACUGAAUACUGAAUAAAAGGUGCAGUAAGCUGGGGGCUUUUGUCUUUGCCAUCCAGAGGAGCACUGAUUAGAUCCAAAGCUCAGCUUCUUCUCAGUCUCAUUUUUCUACCUUUCCUGUAAUUUGCCAUGUGCUGCUGUGGCUCACAGGAGACCAGGACUCACUGUAGAGGUUCUGGUAACGUCCCCUUCUCCUGUCCCCUACAUUUGGCUCCCAAUGUGGAUGUGAAUUGGAUCCACGGGUGAACUCGCCUGUGAGACAAACUCGGAGUAAAAGAGACAGCACACGGAUCUCCCAGGACGCUUUCGAGACUCAGAGGAGGGACUCUGGUGAUAAUGGGAAAACCUUGUGGCUGCCCUCCCGGAACGUGAGACCAUGGGUCACGCUGGUGGAACUGCCAACAUCUCGCAGAAUGAGUGAUAGCACCCUGGCUGAAAGCGAUGAGCCAGCUGCACCUCAGGGACCCACCUCACCAGUGACAAUCAACAAAUCCAUGGCAGGGUCCAGGAUGAUGUUCCCAGAGGAAUGAUAAUUAUAGAUUUAUGGUAAAAAAUGUAUAAAGGUGGGGGACAACUUCAAAAUGCUCUUUUUAUAUUUACAGGUAUAAAAGCGCUUUCAUUCCUUCUGAUUCUAAUCUCAAGAGAUCUCUGUUAAUUGACUAUUCCAAAGUUUUUGACCAGUCAUACAAUUAUAAAUCUAAUAAUCAUAAAAAGGAUAUACAAUUCAAUUUGGCCAAAUAUAUUUGAGUGCACUUUAAUUUUAUAAAUUGUCUUAUAUGUUUGUCUGUUAUCUGUACAGUUGAGCUCAAUUUUAUUUUUCCUUUUUCCUUUUCACCUUUUAAAAAAAAAAUUUUUUUUUUAAGAUAUUCACCUAUUGUUAAAUUGGCUUACAGAUAAAUGUUAUUAAAUUAAAGGCAUGCCCUCCUUCCCAGGUUGCUAAUUGGUCAAAGUGCCACCGAGAUUUAUUUUAUAAAAGUAAUUUGUAUUGUCACUUUUGUGCAAUAAUCAAAUUGAAAUAAGCAGUUGUAAAAUAAGAAGAUAUAUAUAUACUUAUUAUUUGUUUGUCAAAGUAAAUAGAGACUGUGGGUACUCCCUUUGGUGAAUAAAGAAGUGGCCACCCAGAAAAUAAUCAUUCUGGUCUUAAUUCACUAAAGGGACCCCCUAGUAAUUUUUAUAAUCUUAUGGGAGACACACCA
rnacentral:lncRNA from 1 species